AGGAAUUGGCGGGGGAGCACUACAAGGGGUGCGGCGUGCGGUUUAAUCCAACUCAACGCGGAGAAUCUUACUAGGGGCGACGGCAGGAUGAAGGUCGUGCUGAAGACACUACCAGACGAGCCGAGAGGUAGUGCAUGGCCGCCGUCAGCUCGUGCCGUGAGGUGUCCAGUUAAGUCUGGUAACGAGCAAGACCUGUAUCCACAAUUGCUACCGAACUCUGUGAUCGAGCACUUUGUGGAGACUGCCCGGGUAACCGGGAGGAAGGUGCAGGCUACGGUAGGUCUGUAUGCUCCGAAUCCCUUAGGCUACACGCGCGCAACAAUGGUACGGACAAUGGGAUGCAACCCCGAAAGGGGAAGCGAAUCCUCUAACCCCUAU
rnacentral:rRNA from 1 species